rnacentral:lncRNA from 1 species
CAAUGCCCAAUUGGCAAUCCUAUGAUCAGGAACGUUUAGGAUAUGUAUACAAAAGAAUGGUCUCAUGAAUCUAACUUCUUUAGAUCGCAUUCUCCCAAUCACAUAUUCCUUGGACUUAUCAUUUAAGCGUUUAACAUUUAUAUGAGACGGCUUAAACAAUAAUCUUUGUUCUUGAUAUUAAACUAGAUUAGUUUAACAUGUGAAAUGUUCGUAAAGUUAUCAUAUGAUUGGUUUGAGGGCACAUUUCCAACAAUCUCCCACUUGCACUAGAGCCAAUCAGCUUGGUCAUCAAUGAUGAUACCUCUUCUGUAGUCAUUUCAAAAAUGGCUGAGUAGUAGGCCUAGACAAUGGAUAUCUAUAUGUUAUCCAUAGAAGCAACCUUAAGAAUCAUGACGUCACCAUUAUACAUGAUUCUUAAUCAUGUGGUUCAGUCUCUCAAUUGAGUUUGGAUCUUGAUGAGACCUUGAUUCCCUGGCUUGAGCUAUUGCCCCAUUAGUGUCGUAGUGUCAGUACACUAGAGACACUUUCUGGUUGGAACCGAAUAGAGAGUUCAUAAAUGAACUUUCCCAUCCAAACAACAUUGUUGUAAACUUCUAUAAGGCAAUAUAUUUUGCAUUCAUAAUGGAACACACUAAAGUCAUUACUUUUAAUGUUUCCAUCCAAAUAUCUCUUUAGUCGUAAUAAAGAGAUAUCUGAUUAUCUCUUCAUUCAUAAUGAAGAAACAUCCAAUUAUGGAUUAGAUUCAUAAUCUAAUACAUUUACGCUUCCUUUACGUUACUCUAAUUCUUCCUCAUUCUUUGAGGAAUUUAUCCUUUAGUAUUUCUUAAAUACUUAAGGACUCACUUGACAGUUGCCAUGGUUCUGAUCCUGGGCUUGCAUUGAUAUUGUCUUGUACCGAUCUAGGUACAAUUCAUAUCAAUGUUUUUCAUACAAUAUGAAAUACGUAAAUCACCUUUCUGCGUAUGCAUACAGGAUUCUAUUUAUGCAUUAUGUUUAUUUAGGAGUCAAAAGGGUACGUUCCCUUUGAGAAGAACAACUUCCUAGUCUCACUAGAGUUGUCCUUUUGAUUUGAAGUUUGUCAUCAUAUGAGAAACUUCCUAGCAUCUCUUGUCUAUCAUUAGGGUUUGAUAUAAUCCAAUUAUAUCCUGAAAUCUAUCAUUAUAGAUUUCCAUCCCAUGUUUAUAGACUAUGUCUCCCAUAUACAUUCUAUCUUUAUAGAAUGUUUAUAGUCAUAACUUUAACGAAGAAGUAUUCUUUUCAUUUCCAAAAUUAAUAUAUCAUAUAUGUGUAUAUAUAUAUAUAUAUAUAUAUUUAAAUUUAGGACAUGAUUAACUCCCACUAAUCUUUUGUAAACCUAGUAAACAAAAGAUUCAUUUACAUCUUUAUGAGAAAUCAAUUGAUUUGAUCUUUCUCUCAUAAGACGCUUAUGGCUCCCACUAGCUUGCUAAGAUUCUUGAUGGAUGGAUCUCUACAACUUACAUGUCUUGUGAUUUAUAGUUUUAGACAUAUAUUAUCAAGACUAUCUUAAUAAUGGUUUCGGAAACCCAUAUUAUGUCCAAAUAUUGAAUCACCAUUUAGUUGUAGCUAGCAAUCUUCGAAUUAAUUGAAACCAAGACUAUCUCAAAGAUG